rnacentral:rRNA from 1 species
ACAGGUGGUGCAGUGGUUGUCGUCAGCUCGUGUCGUGAGAUGGUUGGGUUAAGUCCCGCAACGAGCGCAACCCCUAUUGUUAGUUGCCAUCAUUCAGUUGGGCACUCUAGCGAGACUGCCGGUAAUAAACCGGAGGAAGGUGGGAUGACGUCAAAUCAUCAUGCCCCUUAUGACCUGGGCUACACACGUGCUACAAUGGUUGGUACAACGAGUUGCGAGUCGGUGACGGCGAGCUAAUACUCUUAAAGCCAAUCUCAGUUCGGAUUGUAGGCUGCAACUCGCCUACAUGAAGUCGGAAUCGCUAGUAAUCGCGGGAUCAGCACGCCGCGGUGAAUACGUUCCCGGGCCUU